UUUUUUUUUUUUUUUUUUUUUUUUUAAUUCAGUCUGUGUGGCUUGCCAGGGAAACUCAGGCUGUGCAGGUGUGUGCCUGAGAAGUCUUCAUCUGCUAUUCAGGUCUGAAGGGCUCCUGCUCUUGUGUUAGUGAUCUCUGGUGCUUGUGAGACUGUCCAAAUCAAAACUGAGAUAAAAUGCUGGGAUUAAAAAUUGGUCUGUCUGUAACACCAAAAUAGGGCUGAGGGUGGCACUGGCUCUUAAACCACUCCUCUGCCUGGCAGCUGGCAGCUCCAUGGGGAGCACAAAUGCCACUGGAAAGCAGGUGCUUGCCAAUGCUAUGGACCACUGUAGCUGUGACCACCCACCCAUCCUGUGGGAGCUUGGACAGAAGGAAAAAGCCUCUGCCCUGUGGCCAGCAGGAGGAAAAGCUGAAGCCAACCUUUUGUAUCUGUGGUGUUUAAGGCUAAAAAAGACAGGGCUUCUCUUUUUUCUCUUGGCCAGACUCCAGCCUGAAGGUAACUAGCCAGGAUCUAUCUACAAAACCAGAAAAUACUUCAGUCAGACUGUAUUUUCUCUGUUCUCCAAGACCCUUGCUCUCAGUUCAUGUUAGAUGAGAUGUGCUUGUCAUCAACACUUUGACCAGGACUGGUGGGUGUUUCAGAAGUAAUUGUGAUGGAGAGCAGGGUGAGCCUGUCCCAGGGAAAGGAAGAAAGUGUACUAGGAUGAGGGGAGUGUGGGGGGUGCUGCUGGGUUCAGUGCAUGCUUCCCACUCAGGAAACACAACAGAACAGACUAAGGACACUGUUUCACGGUACAGGUACGUGAUAGGAGCGGUAUCUUUUCUAGGAUCACCAAGUACUUCAGUGGUGGCUGCAGCAGAACAUUUCUUGGGAUGUCCCACGUGUGGAUAAACACUUCAUUCAGUAAGUAAUAAAAACCUGCAAUCUGCUGCCACAGGAUGUCACAAAGAUAAGGUUGUGAACCUGCAGAUACCAACUAAUAGAUACUUCCAUGGGCAAAUCCCAAGUUUAUAGGAUAAUGAGAGGUGUAGUCAGUGCUGUGUUUCCUAAUAUCCAAUAUCUAGUAAUUGUGAACACUAGAGAGAGUCGACCUGCAAAUGUACCCUAAACAGAUCCACCUGCCCCUUCUGAAACAGAAUAUUUCUGUGUGCUCCAUGGCCUGACCCACCUAGUAAGUUCUUACUUAAAUGUUGUCAGGCUGGUAGCUAGAAAUGCUCAGAGAACAAAACCAAUACAUGUACAUUCCCUCAACUAAAAAAGUCUUCAAAGUUGAGAAUGAAGAAAACCCUUCCUUUGUUUCACAAAUAGCUGUCAUAUUUACUGCUAUGAACAGUCAGUAAGAAGCCAGCACUCAGUGCAGCACAUGGGAGGAGAUGGCAGCCUUUCCUGCAUACUGAGCAGGACCAGCAGAGAUCAGAGCUGGGCUCUGCCUUUGGGCUUUGAGCUGCAGCCAGCACAUGUGAGACUGUCCCACCCUCCUUAGCUGAUUUCACCUGUGAAGGGGAGCUUUGAAGAGCUAAUUAGUUCCUGCUUGUGCAAAAGGUAUUAUUUGUUCUUAACCUAAACUGCAAGGGCUAGAGAAAAAUCAGGCUUGGAGGACUUGCUUCUGUGUACAUGGAGACAGCUUUAAAAAUAGAUUUCAGCUGGUGAUGGAGCCACAGCUGUGGCUUUUGUGUGUGUAAGGCUUGUGCCUUCAUCACUGAGCCUGUGGAAAAGCAGCAUUGCUGGGGAACAGAGCCUGCUUCAAUGGCCUCCUAGCUGCUUGUCAAACAAUGCCCUCCUGGGAAGCCAUGGAUGCAUUCAUGUGGGAAACACUGAAUUUCACUUUUCCCCUUGAUUGGUUUUUUCGUAGGAUGAGAAACUGAGCAAUGAUCACAGGCCAUGGAGAUUUUAUGGUCUGUUGCCUUGCCUGGAAGUAGAGGUUGGCAUUUUCAGCUGAAGUUAUUACUUGUGAAUAACUUAUAUGGAUCAGAUGGGUAUUCCAAAGAUUUUUGGUGUGCUGUGGAAGAGAGGCCACAGGCUCCCGUGUCUGCAUAUUAUGGGAAUUUCAGCAUAAAAACUUAACUGUAGCGGAGCCCCUCUGAUAAGUAGCUGAUGAGCUGUAAUGGCUCCAUAUGAAAUAUAUGAAUUACGGGAUCUUCCCCCAUGCUAGAACAGCCUGAGACAGAAUCACUUGCUAGAAAACUGGUCAGCUGCAGGGCUCUGGAUUAUAUGGCAAUUGUGGUGUCCUGUGCUGGCCUCCAAGUGGGUGCUUUUGUUUUAUCCAAUAAUGUGUUGUUUGUUGUAGGACAGAAGUAGCUUAGGAGUAUCUUGAUACCUCUCUGGUUAAACAGCUAAUGAGCACAGUGCCUAAAUACGUGACUCUUUAUUCCUGUGCUGCCAGCUGCCACUUCAGGUCACUGCAUAGGCAGUGCCUGGCUGAUACAGCAUUGAGAAUAAGUUCUUUAGAAGGUUUUUUUUUUUUUUUCUCAAAUAUAAUGAAGAAGUGUUGGGGAAGAUAGCGUCCUCGCAAAAAAGAAAAUAAAAAUGUGCAAUCUCCUUCAGCUGGAUCUACAUACUCACCAUGUAAGGUACUUACUGUUUGCAGUUGUGUCAUCUUCAUUCCCACAUGAGGAGAAAAACAGACAAAAAUGGGAUGAGACAUAUGUGCUGGUAGUGGAGAAGCAUUUAGAGUAAAUGAAAAAAGACAUUCACAGAACAUUUCUAACUAGAAGAAGAAAGCAAAUUCACUUUGUCAGAAAAUAAUUUUGAAACCAACAUUCAAAACUAAGAGUUGUUCUAUCAUUUGACUCUCCUUUAAGCUCUCUUGGUGAUUCAGCCCUUCCUGUGCCAAAGCCAUUUAACCUGGCAUCUGGUGCAUGCUCUCCCUGGAAAUGAGUGUCUGAAACUGCAGGUUACACUUUUCAGGAGGGUAGACAUACAUGCAGAUUACUUGUGGAGGGAAACCUAUCAACCACCCCUAUGACCUUAAAGAAAUCUGCCUCAUUUUCCUCUUCUUCUGUAUUUCUCUGCUCUGGUACAAGGAGGAGCAACCUAACCCAGGAAUCCUUCAGGCUGGGAGUUCCUAAGGAAGGAGCUUUGUAACCACCUGGAUUUUGCACUGCUACAAGCACAGAGCUGCCAAGAAAACUGCUGGGAGAGUGGAGGCACAGAGCUGUGAGUUACUUGCAUGUCCAACUUUUCUCCCAUGUGGCACAGAGCAUGUUUUAGUUGAUGGGCCUUUAGAGCCAGGGCUAAUUGCAAAGCCUGAAGGCUGUCUGAGGGCAGGAGGAGGUGGCAGGACUGGGGGUACUGAGCUUAGAUGCGGGUUGUGACAUUUGCUGGCUCAGGCUCCAGGAGUGUCCUGACUUGCUGAACCCUCAGGACAAGCGCUUUGAUAGUACCAAUACCAGAUUCAGGCUUGGUGGGCUGGGGGAGCCCAGGAGUUUCUACAGUGUUUUAGUGUUCAAGUCAUGACUUGAGCUGUGUAUGUGGCCACACCAAGUUUCAGGAGGCAGGUCUCUGGAUAGUAUUCAUCAUCCUCAAAGUUUAGGAGUGUAUGAUGUGGUCAUUUGCACCUAAGCUGCUUGUCUCGCUGCCCUUGAAGACCUAAGAAGAUGCAAUCAAUCACUGGAACCUGUCGAGGAUUUGUCUCAUCCUAAAGUAGAUUUAAUCAUAUAGACUGGACUCUAAUCAGCUAAAAGGAGACUCUGAUGAUAUUUCUCACAAACAAAUCUCUUUAGAUAGGCAGGAUGAUCUGCAUCUGAGAUGCCUCACACUGAGAGUAGGUACAGGCUGAUCCAAACUGAGGCAUUUCUGAACAUCACCACCCAUGGAGAAAAGAAGAGGGAGUGAGGAACAAACUUUCUUAUUUGUGUAUUUUGUUGUCUUCAGCAACUCUACUUCUUAGAUGGAGCCAUUGUUUCUGUGUAAUGCCUGUAUUUGAGGGACCUGUGGAUUUUCACCUUCUCAGGAGCAAAGGCAGCUCCACCUGCUGCUGUUUCAGGGUGGAAUGAGGUGUCCUGUGCAGCACAGCCCUGCUCUGGCAAUGUCCACUUGGUCAUUGUAGCAAUUCCUGUGAAAGUGGUACAGGUUUCCAGCAGGGCUGUUGUGCUUAUUCCUUUACUACAUCUGCGAGUGAACAAGUGAAAGCUGUGUCUAGAGCAGCGAGGCCUGAAAACUAACUGCAGGUCAAGCACUGCAGCAUGCCCAUUCUCAUUCAUCAAAAAUUAAUUUCUCUUUGAAAUGCCUCGUGAAGAAAAGCCAGGUAAAUUAACUUCUCCCCUUCCGAAGUGGCAAGCUAAUUACAGGUACCUAUUUCCAGCUCAAGUCUCCUCCUGAGAUAAAAGGCUGUUGGGUGGGCUGCUCCUAACAUCCUUCAUGAAAACAAAGCGCAGGGAGAAAAAACAGUAAAAGUCUAUUUUUUUCUUUUGCAUGUUCAUGGCCACUCACCCUUGGGGCUUUUCUCUUUGCGUUUGACUGGGAAUAAAGGAGAACUUGAAUCACUGCACAGCAAAAUGCUCUGGGGUCCUCUAACUGCACAAAAAAUGGUAAGAUUUACUUUGAUUCCUUUCUGUAAGAAAAUUUAAAGCCAGAGAAGGCUUUCUUCUUUUUCUUUUCUUGUUCUCUGCUCUCCUCCAGAUUUUUCUGCUUGUCCUUCACUGUAACCUUCAUUUAAUCACGGUUAAGUCUGCCUUCAUAUAAAUAGCAGAUGCUUCUGGGACAUUGUUAUUGUGCUUUCCUGGUUGGCAAUAGUUUGGGCAGCCCUGGCUGCAGUGUUGAGCAAGAUAAAGCUGGCUAAGUAGGAAGCUUUGAGACGCCUCUUGAAUUUGGUUUCCUGCAGCUUUACAUCAAGGAAAGGGCCCUGAUCACUCUUUCUGUAAUAAAGGGAAAUUACAUGGAAGGAGAAAAAAAAUCCUGAUUUCAGAGGACAACUCCCCCCACCCAGCAGUGGUAUUUUUACAUGCCUCCCUUGGCUGACAGAAGCUGAUACUCCAUGGGCACGAGCCUGCACAGAACCAGGGAAUGACAAUUUUUGCCUGGCCUUAUGGAACGUGUAACCCUCUGGGAGCCCGCUGCGGGCGGGGGCAGCAGCUGCUGCUGUUUCUGCAGCAAAGGCGAGGCAGCGCAGAGCAGAUGAGCUGAGCUUCAUGCAUCUCCUGGAGACCUGAGACUUCCUACUCCCUGCUCCUGGUUUUACCACAGUCAGCCUGGUGUGUGGAAUUGCUGCGUGUACAGCAGAUAUCUGUUCCCUCGGUGUUCAGCAGAGGAAAAGAAGCCCCUGUCAGGGCGGUGGUGUGGAUGCCGAGCCCAUUGCAGCUGCAGCAGUGCUACUUAAGCACUGGUUUCCCAGGCACUGGUUUCCCUGCCCACAGCAGGGACUGGGAGGACUCAUGGAAAUGGAGAGGCCAGUAGCAACAAGGUGUAUUCCUGUGAGGAGCAUUGACUUGGUGGACUUUGCUUGUGGGGGCUAGGGCCAAAAGUUAAACCCAGAGAGGUACAGAAAGAAGAAAGCAAACUGCAGCUCAGUUGUGGGUUAAGCCACGGCUGAUGCUGUCUGCUGAAAAGACAGAACUGAAGCUCAAACUGCUGUGAAGAGGUUACUAUUGCAAAUUAAACCCCAGGAGAGAUGGGAAAGUGAUCUUCUGCUCAGCACUGCCUCUCCCUCUGAGCAUUUCAGCUUCUCCUGUUCAGCAGUCCACAACAUCUGUGAGCAAAGGCUAUUUCUGCAGAGACAAGGGUUUAUCAGGAGACACAAAGAGCUUUUGCCCAUGGGAUGGGCAACUACUGAUUUUCUGCUGCUUUGAGAACUGAAGAAAAGGCCUCUACAGCAGCUGGCAGUGUGCAUGCCCAGACUGCGCCCUGAAAUUUUGACCUGAAACUAUCCUUGUUGGUCCUUUGCUCUGGGAAGCCACCCCUAAAUGAUCCUAGCCACUGACCUGGAAGGUGGGGGAUGAAGAUCACCCUGAUCUGAACCCAGUAGCUUUCCAGGAGCUCAAAUCAAUGCCCUGGAGAGGUGUUUCUUCCAAGGUCAGGAAGCUGACUGGCUAUGUCAUCCUCUGCAUAACUCACUGGCACUGAAGGCUAAAUAUUUGGGUUUUGAAUAGAGAAUUAUAUACUUGGGCUUCCAAAAUGAAUCCAACAGCUGGCAAUAUGUCCAGCAUGGUCAGGCUUUGCUCAUGAUGUGAACUCCACUCCAAAUUUAGCUCUAAUUAAAUCAAAGUAAAAUUGUCUCUGGGCAGUACAUCAGAGGCAAAAUAAAGUAGUACAAGUUACUGAGAGUCUGUGCUACCCCUCAUGCAGCCUCCCAGGAAGUCAAACAUCAUUCCUGCUCUAUGUGAAGUCAACAGUCAGUAGGGCUGGAUUAGAUAUUUUUCCUGCUGCUGUUCACGUUUUGCAGGUACUCUCAAGCCUUGGUUUCAAUGCCUCUUCAAGUCAGAAGAAUUUUUGGGAAGGACUUUGCAGCACUAGAUACAGCUGCAGCUUUGCUGUGAUGUUGACAAGCUGCACAGCUAUAUCCAGGCUCUUAGAGAAAGCUGCUGCAUAGGUGUAAUUUGGGUGCAAGUAAAAAAAAUAUAUAUUUUAAAAAAUAACUCAAAUCUGCAUUAUCUAGACAGUCCAUCUCUGAGAUGGGAAAACCUUGUAGCAGAAAAAGGGCUGCAUCGACUUAAGAAAGACACACACAUGCAGCUUUUUAAACUGCCAGUUUAACAGGCUAAGAUGAAUUGAACAGACAUAUUUUGGAGUAGGGAGGAACGUUUUGUGUUGUCUUUGGGGACUGGCAUGACCCUGGCUUUGCCCUGGAAUUGUUACUGUCUACAUGUUGACUAAAGCUGACAUCGUGAGAGGAGAAAUGGCAAGGGAAGGUUAAGAACUACCUUUGGAGAAAAUCCCACAAGCUUCUAAAGCCUUUAGGUUGAGACUGAGGCAUGUUAAGGUACAGCAAGCAGCCUGGAAGUGGAAGUUCAAUAAGGAAAAGCUGAAUUUGGGUCUGAAAAGCUACAGAUGCUUGUCUUGGAGGCAGAGGGAAGAUGUCACUGGUGUGACAACACUCUGAAGAGCUGGUGAAGGGUGUGGGAGGGACACUUCUGAAAUUCAGCCCAGAUGUUCAUGUCAGAGAGUGACAAAAGCUCAGAGAGGGCCUAGACGUUAUGGGGGAUAUGAAGAUGCUGGGUGUACUCUGGCAUCAGAUGAUGCUGUGGGAAGUGGGCAUCUUUCACCCAUAUUGCCUGUGCUGGAGCAGCAGGCAGUGGCUCUGCCAAGGCUGCAGCAGUGCAUUGCUCUGGAAAAGGCAGGAGCUGCACAACCCUGGCUUGCAAGAAAUGGCAGAGGUAGCAGCAGGGGAUUGUGCAGUAUGAAUGAUGGCCUAUUAUUAUGAAUUGGCAAUUUCUCUAAAACCUGCCCAUUUCAAGGAUGGCUUUUGCCUGCUUUUUUUCUCCCUCGCUCAUCAUCCUGAAAGAGGAAGGGUUUUUCUAAUAAACGUGAAACAGUAAUUAAGUUAUGCAGUAAAGAGCCAUGUGUGCUCUGCAUUUGCCACAAGCGUGAGGCAGACUUUUUUCCCACACUGGCCAUGAGACAGUCAUUUCACACUGGCUAUCAACUUGGUUGCCAAACAGCAGUUUCUUGACAACUGCAUGGGGACUUUGCAGCUUGAGGGAGGGGAGCAGAGAGGCUCUGGUUUCCAUUCUGAACCAUUUUGUUUGUCCAGUCCCUUCUUUGUUGUUAGUUGACCUUUUUACAUUUAGCAGGGGAACAAAAUAGAGCACUCUGUGGAAGGAUGCUCCACAGAGUAACCCUGCAUCCCUAGCUGUCCCCUUACAAGGACAUGGUGAGCCAAACCAAGCACUUUACUCUUAAAAGUUUUCAUUGCUCUUAUGCUUCCUGGCAGAGAUGUCUUUCAUUAGCAGCCAAAGACUGGUGGAAGGAGAGCACCAGCCCUGGUAUUUCUCUCUUGUUAUAAAUAAAAGUUCCAAUUUAUUAAUUAAGAAAAUUUAUUAAAUGGUCCAAAUAUAAAUUUAGAGAAUAACAACAAAAAGCCACUAUCAAAAAAAAAAAAAAAA
rnacentral:lncRNA from 1 species